GGGGAUAUUGCACAAUGGGGGGAACCCUGAUGCAGCGACGCCGCGUGGGCGAUGGAGUACUUCGGUAUGUAAAGCCCUAUCAGCAGGGAAGAAAAAAGACAGUACCUGUAGAAUAAGCUCCGGCUAACUACGUGCCAGCAGCCGCGGUAAUACGUAGGGAGCAAGCGUUAUCCGGAAUUAUUGGGUGUAAAGGGUGCGUAGACGGGACAGCAAGUUAGUUGUGAAAGCCCUCGGCUUAACUGAGGAACUGCAACUAAAACUAUUGUUCUUGAGUGCAGGAGAGGAAAGCGGAAUUCCUAGUGUAGCGGUGAAAUGCGUAGAUAUUAGGAGGAACACCAGUGGCGAAGGCGGCUUUCUGGACUGUAACUGACGUUGAGGCACGAAAGUGUGGGGAGCAAACAG
rnacentral:rRNA from 1 species